UCGGGAAUUUUGGGCAAUGGGCGAAAGCCUGACCCAGCAACGCCGCGUGAAGGAUGAAGUAUUUCGGUAUGUAAACUUCGAAAGAAUAGGAAGAAUAAAUGACGGUACUAUUUAUAAGGUCCGGCUAACUACGUGCCAGCAGCCGCGGUAAUACGUAGGGACCAAGCGUUGUUCGGAUUUACUGGGCGUAAAGGGCGCGUAGGCGGUGUGUCAAGUCAGUUGUGAAAUCUCCGAGCUUAACUCGGAACGGUCAACUGAUACUGUCACACUAGAGUACAGAAGGGGCAAUCGGAAUUCUUGGUGUAGCGGUGAAAUGCGUAGAUAUCAAGAGGAACACCUGAGGCGAAGGCGGGUUGCUGGGCUGAUACUGACGCUGAGGCGCGAAAGCUAGGGUAGCAAACGGGAUUAGAUACCCUUGUAGUCCCUGAGCGGGCUGGCAAGGCGCAU
rnacentral:rRNA from 1 species